GACUAACGCUGGCGGCGUGCCUAAUACAUGCAAGUCGAACGGGAUUCUUUGAUCAGCUUGCUGAGAGAAGGAUCUAGUGGCGGACGGGUGAGUAACGCGUGGGAAUCUGCCUCUUACUGGGGGAUAACAGUGGGAAACUACUGCUAAUACCGCAUAAGAUCUUCGGAUGAAAGGUGCAACUGCACCGGUAAGAGAUGAGCCCGCGUCCCAUUAGCUAGUUGGUGAGGUAAAGGCUCACCAAGGCGACGAUGGGUAGCCGGCCUGAGAGGGUGAACGGCCACACUGGGACUGAGACACGGCCCAGACUCCUACGGGAGGCAGCAGUAGGGAAUCUUCCGCAAUGGGCCAAGCCUGACCGGAGCGACGCCGCGUGAGUGAUGAAGGCCUUCGGGUCGUAAAGCUCUGUUCUUGAGGACGAAUAAGCAGGAGUGGAAGCCCUGGUGAUGACUGUACUCAAGGAGAAGCUCCGGCUAACUACGUGCCACG
rnacentral:rRNA from 1 species